rnacentral:tRNA from 1 species
GCGGCUGUGGUCUAGUGGCAUGAUUCGAGCUUCCCAAGGCAGCGCAGGGGGCAAAAGACCUGCGCUAGAAAAGAAGCGCCGAAAAAAGCUCGCGAUUCGGGUUCGAUUCCCGACAGCCGCA